rnacentral:misc_RNA from 1 species
GUAAAAAAAAAUAUCUAUUUUGUGUUUUAUUGACUUUGCUAGGUAGUCGUUGUAGGAUCGACUACUUACGACUAACUAGCACGGAUGCGCGACUGCGCGUGUGCGCACAUCCGGGACCACCGUUCGCUAGUAGUACCUACAUCUGUUUAUUCGAUUUUUUUUUGCUCCGCUACCAUUUUAAAGUACUUUUCACUUUUAAUUUGUGCUUUUUGCUAGUUUUAAUUGGCGACCCACUUUCUUUCUCUUCCGGAGAGUCAAAGAAGUUCAUAAUAUAUGAAGGGGAACAACUUCAUACGUUGCAGAUUGCACAUGAUAAGAAAGAGGUCGAUUUAAUUGCUAAUUGUGCACCGACUGAUUGCGAACGGAGAACGAAUAUCAGACGACAUUGGCAUCGCAGCAUUGUUUCCAUCAAAAUUUAUCACCUUCAAAGCUGAAAGAAAAUAAUAACCCUAGAGAAUUACAGUAAAAUAUUUCUUCUGAACUGAAAUUGAUAGCAAUAUUUCUUAACUGUGUGGAAUGUCUACAAAAUGAUUUUAUACACAAAUUAAACUUGGAUAAUUUUAAACAGAAUCUUACAUCAGCUUUAGACAUUAGCAGAGACAGCAGUCAAUGGAAAUAAGGCUGUAAAAUUAUUUGUUUGGAAUAAACUUUUGAAUGUAAACAGGAAAUAUAUCCAUGUGAUCAUGACAAUAAAAUAAUGGACAAAUGGAUUGUGUGAGAAAGCUGGAAAAUAUAUUAUUAUUGUGAAGAGAUGUCGAAAGAGAAACCACAACCAAGAUAUCAGUGCAAUAUCUGUAAAACGUUUUUCACUUACAAACAUAGUUUAACUACCCAUAAACGAAUUCAUACAGGAGAGAAGCCGUUCCACUGUGAUAUUUGUGGUGAAUCAUUCCUUGCUCGAAGUGACUUAACUAAUCACGAACGUAUUCAUAUUAGUAAGAGGCUAUUUCCCUGUGAUAUCUGUGGUAAAUUAUCCUCUUGUGGAAGUUCCUUGAGAUCUCACAAACGUAUUCAUACGGGGGAGAAGCCAUUUCACUGUGAUAUCUGUGGUAAAUCAUUCUCUCAAAGUAGCAUUUUGACUUCUCACAAACGUAUUCAUACAGGAGAGAAGCCAUUUGAAUGCGAUAUCUGUGGUAAAUCAUUCCCUGCUGCAAGUUCUCUAACAUCUCACAAGCAUAAUCAUACAGGAGAGAAACCGUUUCACUGUGAUAUCUGCGGUAAAUCAUUCUCUUUUCGAAGUGCCCUAAUAUCUCACACGCGUAUUCAUACUGGAGAGAGGCCAUUCCACUGCGAUAUCUGUGGUAAAUCAUUCUCUGAAAGAAGGAAUUUGACUAAUCACGAACGUAUUCAUACUGGUGAGAAGCCAUAUAACUGUGAUAUCUGUGGUACAUCAUUCUCUCAAAGUAGCAAUUUAACCAUCCACAAACCUAUUCACACAGGUGAAAAACCAUAUCACUGUGAUAUCUGUGGUAAAUCAUUCUCUCACAGUAAAAUUUAACCAACCACAGACAUAUUCACACAGGUGAAAAACGAUAUCACUGUGAUAUCUCUCAAAGUAGCAAUUUAACCAACCACAAGCAUUCACACAGGUGGAAAACGAUAUCACUGUGAUAUCUGUGGUAAAUCAUUCUCUCAAAGUAGCAAUUUAACGAAACACAAACAUAUUCACACAGGUGGAAAAUGAUAUCACUGUGAUAAAUCAUUCUCUCACAGUAAAAUUUAACCAACCACAGACAUAUUCACACAGGUGAAAAACCAUAUCACUGUGAUAAAUCUUUCUCUCAAAGUAGCAAUUUAACCAACCACAAACAUUCACACAGGUGGAAAACGAUAUCACUGUGAUAUCUGUGGUAAAUCUAUCUCUGAAAGUAGCAAUUUAACCAAACAUGAAAGUAUUUAUAAAUGGGAGAAACCAAAUCACUUUGAUAUCACUGUAAAUCAUUCUCUGCAAAAGGUAAAUUAACUAUGCACACACGUAUUCACACAAGGGAAAAGCCAUAUCAUUAUGCUUUCUGGGGUAAAGCUGACUGUUCUGACCACGUCAGUCCAUAACCCGCCCGACAUCUUGUACAGGAUGGUGUAAGUAUAUAUAUAUAUAUAUAUAUAUAUAUAUAUAUAGCUAUUUCUUUACUACCCACAAGGGGCUAAACACAGAG